rnacentral:rRNA from 1 species
UCAUUCCGGAAAGCUGCAGAGAUGUGGCCCCCCUUGUGGUCGGUAUACAGGUGGUGCAUGGCCUGUCGUCAGACUCGUGUCGUGNAGNAUGUUGGGUUAAGUCCCGCAACGAGCGCAACCCCUAUCUUAUGUUGCCAGCACGUUAUGGUGGGGACUCGUAAGAGACUGCCGGGGUCAACUCGGAGGAAGGUGGGGACGACGUCAAGUCAUCAUGCCCCUUAUGUCCAGGGCUUCACACAUGCUACAAUGGCCAGUACAGAGGGCUGCGAGACCGUGAGGUGGAGCGAAUCCCUUAAAGCUGGUCUCAGUUCGGAUCGGGGUCUGCAACUCGACCCCGUGAAGUCGGAGUCGCUAGUAAUCGCAGAUCAGCAACGCUGCGGUGAAUACGUUCCCGGGCCUUGUACACAC